AGUUGGUCUCCUAGCAACACAAUCAGCCUCCCUGUUGUCAUGUCCUUGGAUCACACGGAUCAAAGAAACCCUGCCUCACACUGUCUCAUCUCCACAGAAUCCCUCUUCCAACCUUCCUAUCUUUUCUAUUUCCCAUUGAUAGAGGGAAACUUGUAGACUCUUCUCAUCAACAAAAGGUCUUAAUUUUCAUCCAGACCGCCUUCAGCCCACUUCUACUGACCACAAGCUUUUGGAUCCUGCCCUGGGUCUCUGAGCACAGCAGAAUACAGGAGAAUCCCUUUCUUCUGGAGACAUGAUGCCUUAUCUUCCCUCCCAAAGGACCAUCUCUGCUUCAAUUCCACUGCCAGCCACAUCCUUGCUACUGCCCUCUUACUACUUCCUAUUCCAGCCAAACUGUAUUAGUUUUUAAUUUAUUUCACUCAGUUAUUCUUAUUACAGUUUAAAUACAGAAAAUACAAAAUAUGGAUAUUUAUUUUAUUUCUUAUUAUACAAGCAUAUCCAUGUUAUCUUUGAUAUUGCUACUUGGUCCACACAGGUGGAUAAGGUACUAUAUUUACCAUCUGACCCUUUAUAGAAAAAGUUAGCUGACCCCUCGUCUAAACUAUGAAGACAGAAACAUCUGUUUUUUUCCUUAUUGUAGUCCCACAACAGGUGCAAAUGUGUCCUAAAUGAAUAUCAUUAAGUGAAUAAAUGAUGGAAAAAUUGUA